rnacentral:rRNA from 1 species
GACGAACGCUGGCGGCGUGCUUAACACAUGCAAGUCGAACGGAAAGGCCCUGCUUUUGUGGGGUGCUCGAGUGGCGAACGGGUGAGUAACACGUGAGUAACCUGCCCUUGACUUUGGGAUAACUUCAGGAAACUGGGGCUAAUACCGGAUAGGAGCUCCUGCUGCAAGGUGGGGGUUGGAAAGUUUCGGCGGUUGGGGAUGGACUCGCGGCUUAUCAGCUUGUUGGUGGGGUAGUGGCUUACCAAGGCUUUGACGGGUAGCCGGCCUGAGAGGGUGACCGGCCACAUUGGGACUGAGAUACGGCCCAGACUCCUGCGGGAGGCAGCAGUGGGGAAUAUUGCACAAUGGGCGGAAGCCUGAUGCAGCAACGCCGCGUGCGGGAUGACGGCCUUCGGGUUGUAAACCGCUUUCGCCUGUGACGAAGCGUGAGUGACGGUAAUGGGUAAAGAAGCACCGGCUAACUACGUG